rnacentral:lncRNA from 1 species
CCCACCAUUCACAUUAUCGAUGCUUUCUCCCCUACAAUGACACCAACAACAUAUAUUUGUCCGCCCUUCCGCCAAUAUUCCUCGCUCGAACAAUACAUCUUUUAGUGGCACUGCAUCAUUACAAACUAGCCAUAAGAACACCUGCAGUACUUUAGAUGAUAUAGAUCCCUUUAAUCCAUGCUUUGUAUCCUUUCCUAACCUACAUAAUAAUACAUCUAAUAUGGCAAUAUUGUCAUUAUAGGAGUAACGGAGGUGAAGCAUUU